rnacentral:rRNA from 1 species
ACACUCCUACGGGAGGCAGCAGUGGGGAAUAUUGGACAAUGGGCGAAAGCCUGAUCCAGCAAUGCCGCGUGAGUGAUGAAGGCCUUAGGGUUGUAAAGCUCUUUUACCCGGGAUGAUAAUGACAGUACCGGGAGAAUAAGCCCCGGCUAACUCCGUGCCAGCAGCCGCGGUAAUACGGAGGGGGCUAGCGUUGUUCGGAAUUACUGGGCGUAAAGCGCGCGUCGGCGGCUUUGUAAGUUAGAGGUGAAAGCCCGGAGCUCAACUUCGGAAUUGCCUUUAAGACUGCAUCGCUAGAAUCGUGGAGAGGUGAGUGGAAUUCCGAGUGUAGAGGUGAAAUUCGUAGAUAUUCGGAAGAACACCAGUGGCGAAGGCGACUCACUGGACACGUAUUGACGCUGAGGUGCGAAAGCGUGGGGAGCAAACAGGAUUAGAAACCCUGGUAGUCCC